rnacentral:lncRNA from 10 species
AAGCUGAGCCUUUCUGGACAGACCAACCUGUCAGUGCUGCAAAGGUCUUCAACAGGAAGAUGCCAGCUGGCACCACUGCACUGUGAUGGGGGCCCUCUCCUCUGCUGACUCUGCCGUUUCUCCAGGCCUCCGCUCAGUGAUGAGACCAAGAGAUCGGAGACAAGCAUGGUGCUGCUGCUUCUGCUGCUUCUCCAGAAAAUCCCUGGGACACCUUUGUUCCAGCCUGGUUUCCUGGGCUGGGCUCAGGAAAGCUGCCAAAUUCAGUCCUAUGUUGGGUCCAAGCUGCCCCUGUGCUGUUUCUGUCAAGCCAGGUGUGGACAUUCCAAGUUCAUAUGCGUGAACAAAAGAAAAGAGGAACCCAGUGGAUGUAACAGAACCGACUCCAGUUGAAUGUUUAGAUUUUUGCUAAACUGUUUUCUUUUUCCCUUUUUUGCUGUGGUUUGCAUUCACGGCAGUAGUUAGCCCAGGUGUGGGGAACGAGAGUGCACUGCAUGAUAGCGUUCUGGUGAGCUGGGAAGGACCCACCACUGCCACUGAGGAUUGUUUUGGAAGAAAGGAAUAUUUUUAUCUUGGGGACCAGCUAAGUCUCUGCAGUAGUGUGAAAUUCCAAAUGGUUGUUUUAUCAUUGGUUUGGUUUACCAAAAAAAAGGCAGGGAAAAAAAAAAAAAACAACCGUAUGAGCGCAUUGGCUUGUCUGCCGCAGGCACAGAAGGGUAGAAAGCCACAGCAGGGGGCAGUCCAGCAGACUCUGACUCAACUUUCUAGGCACCUAGCAGAGAAAGAUA